AGCGAACGUUUGCGGCGGGCCUAACACAUGCAAGUCGAACGCACUAGCAAUAGUGAGUGGCGCACGGGUGCGUAACACGUGGGUAAUCAACCCUUCAGCUUGGGAUAACGACUUGAAAGGGUCGCUAAUACCGGAUACGGCGAGAGAGGCUUCGGCAUUUCUCGAGAAAGCCUCGCAAGGGGCACUGAAGGACGAGCCUGCGGCCCAUCAGCUAGUUGGUGAGGUAAGAGCUCACCAAGGCGAAGACGGGUAGCUGGUCUGAGAGGAUGAUCAGCCACACUGGAACUGAGACACGGUCCAGACUCCUACGGGAGGCAGCAGUGGGGAAUAUUGCGCAAUGGACGAAAGUCUGACGCAGCCACGCCGCGUGAGUGAGGAAGGCCUUCGGGUU
rnacentral:rRNA from 1 species